CUGGCAAAAAUGCGAUCGAUGAUGGCAGAACUGUUUGUCUUCCAUUCCUGAGAUUGGACUGUAUGUUUCAGUUUCAUUCCUGAGAACAUUUCCAGUAAAACAAUUCCCAGACUCCACAGAUCCACAGCAGAGGUACAUUCCGUCUCACUCUGGAGCCCUGCCUGUGCUAGGCAGUUCUGCAGUUCUGCCUCUGGAGCCCGAUACCCGUCUGUUUGAAUAUAUUUCACAUCCUGCAGAAGACCAAACAAAC
rnacentral:lncRNA from 1 species